rnacentral:rRNA from 1 species
GGCGGCGUGCUUAACACAUGCAAGUCGAACGAUGAACCACUUCGGUGGGGAUUAGUGGCGAACGGGUGAGUAACACGUGGGCAAUCUGCCCUUCACUCUGGGACAAGCCCUGGAAACGGGGUCUAAUACCGGAUAUGAGCCUGGGAGGCAUCUCCUGGGUUGUAAAGCUCCGGCGGUGAAGGAUGAGCCCGCGGCCUAUCAGCUUGUUGGUGAGGUAAUGGCUCACCAAGGCGACGACGGGUAGCCGGCCUGAGAGGGCGACCGGCCACACUGGGACUGAGACACGGCCCAGACUCCUACGGGAGGCAGCAGUGGGGAAUAUUGCACAAUGGGCGAAAGCCUGAUGCAGCGACGCCGCGUGAGGGAUGACGGCCUUCGGGUUGUAAACCUCUUUCAGCAGGGAAGAAGCGAAAGUGACGGUACCUGCAGAAGAAGCGCCGGCUAACUACGUGCCAGCAGCCGCGGUAAUACGUAGGGCGCAAGCGUUGUCCGGAAUUAUUGGGCGUAAAGAGCUCGUAGGCGGCUUGUCACGUCGAUUGUGAAAGCCCGAGGCUUAACUUCGGGUCUGCAGUCGAUACGGGCUAGCUAGAGUGUGGUAGGGGAGAUCGGAAUUCCUGGUGUAGCGGUGAAAUGCGCAGAUAUCAGGAGGAACACCGGUGGCGAAGGCGGAUCUCUGGGCCAUUACUGACGCUGAGGAGCGAAAGCGUGGGGAGCGAACAGGAUUAGAUACCCUGGUAGUCCACGCCGUAAACGGUGGGCACUAGGUGUUGGCGACAUUCCACGUCGUCGGUGCCGCAGCUAACGCAUUAAGUGCCCCGCCUGGGGAGUACGGCCGC